AAUCGUUGACAACUGACAACGAAAACUCGGAAAACUUGAAAGAAAAUCAAAACUGCUGGCCACAUCCAGCUGGUUGCUCCAUUCUGAAAAAUUAAAAUUAAAAUAUUAAACUGAGUGAACAUUCGAAUUUUUCUUUAUAAUCAUAAGGAUGAUUCCUAUGGUACUUAUAUUGGAGUUAAGUAUAACUGGAGUUAACUUAGAGUUAAGAUUCUAACAAGUGCAAAAUAUAAGCAAGGAUCAAUUAGAGGCUUUUGGCAUCUUAAACUGUUAAAAAUGAGGAGCUAUGCAACAAGUUAAUGGGCCAAAGCAUAUUAUGUGGAUCAUUUAUCCCAUUAUGAGAGACAAUUCAACACAAAAAAGAGUUUCAGUAUCAGAAGACAUGAAGAAAGGGAUACUGCAGUACUUCUAAGUAAUAAGCUAUGAAACAAGUUAACCAGGCAAAACGGAUCAUUUAUCAGAUGAGAGAUCAUUCAACACAAACGGAAGUAACACAUCAGUAUCGAUAAUGAAGAAAUAAAGAAAGUUGGUUCUAAAUACUGGAGUAGAUCUAAAUAAUCAGAUAAACAAGAACAGGCAACCCCACCAGGAACGUCGACUAUAGACCAUAAACCAGACAAAAAAGUGUACAUAAAUAUAAAUAUUGUAUCAGGUAUCAUAUACUGUUAGUCUGGGCUGAUUAUCGGAGAAUAGGCCAUUUUUGGGAAAAGUUAUUUACCAGCAAUUUUAUUGCUGGAAUCGAAUUAUAAGAUCCUAUAUAUUAAUAAUAUAGGUAUGCAAAGUCCUCAGAUAGUGUGCUACUUUUUUUAUAAACAAAAUGGCGCCCGAAAAUCCUGUUUUUUCAAUUAUUGCUCUAUAACUCCGAAGAUUUUAAUUUUACCACAAAAACUCUCAAAUAAAAAUUCACUGUGAUUAAAUUCUGCAUAGAGACGUGUUUUUCCUGAUUUGCUCCGAUGAAAAUUUUCCUCGGAAAAUGCGGGUUUUCCCAACCAAACCUUUAAUUUUCAAAUAAACUUUUAGAUAAGUAAUUAUCUACCAAUAUUUAAAUAAUUUGGUGACUUAAAAGCCUUCUUAGUUUAAAUUAUAGUUCCAGAAACUGAUGCAAAUUAAACGAAUAUUUUAGCAACAAUUCAAUUGUUAAUUAAUAAUUUACGGUCGCAAUAAUAUCCAAAAUAAUUAUGAUACACUGAUCAAACUUUGAAAUCUUAUAAAUAUAAGAUGCCUUUUUAACAUUUUGUCGACAAAAUAUAAAUUUUUUAUUUUUUUGCACAAUCUUUAAUGUUUUAAAAAAAAUAGUUAUAAACAAAUUAACGUUUCUCAGAAAGUUUUUAUUAUAUUGUAAUUUUAAAAAAUAGCUAAAAUGCGCAUUUCAAAUAUCUUGAAAAUGAAUGCUUUAAAACUUUUUUGCAACCAUUUACAAAAAAGUUAUGAAACAGCAAAGUUAACAUACGAUUACUACGGUGUUUAUAUAUUUUUUUAAUUCUUUCAAAGCGUAGAAGUGAGUAUAAUGUACAAGCUAAUUAUUUACAAAAAAAUAUCGAUGAUCAAUUUAAUGGUUAUAUUUUAAUUAAAGAUUAUAGAUAUAUUUUUUUGUAAUUUACACGCGCGAAAGUAGAAUAAUACAGCACUGUAGCUGAAAUUUUCACUCGGAGCGACGACCGACCGCGCGAGACGUACACUUUUAUAAAUAAUAUAUGCUGCGUGUCAGUCGCUUCGAGUGAACAUUUUAGCUCCGACUCUGUAUCAGGCCUACUUUUGCGCUAAAAAUUACAAAAAAAAGUAUUUUUAAUCUUUGAAUCAAAUAUAACCAUUGCACUAAUUUUUGACAUUCUUUGUGAGUAUUGUACUAUACAAUGCUUUUUGUACUAUGACUCACUUUUAAGCUUUGAAACAAUUAGAACAAAUUAUAAGCAAUGGAGAUUUCGUAUAUUUACUUUGCUGUUUCAUAACUUUUUUGCAAAUGGUUGGAAAAUUUUUUUAAAACAUUCAUUUUCAAGACCUAUGAAAUACGCAUUUUAAGUAUUUUAUAAAAUUAGAAUAUAAUAAACAAUUUCUGAGAAAUGUUAAUUUUUUUAUAACAAUUUUUUUAAACAUUUAAAGAUUAUGCAAAAAAAUGAAAAAUUUAUAUUUUGUCGACAAAAUAUUAAAUAGGCAUCACACCUUUAUAAUCUUUCUAAGUUUGAUCAAUGUCUCAUGAUUAUUUUGGUUGUUAUUGCGACUGUACAUUUUUAAUUAACAAUUGAAUUGUUUCUAAAAUAUUCGUUUCAUUUUCACCAGCUUCUGAAUUUAUAAUCUAUACCAAGAAAGCUUUUAUUUCACCAAGCUAUAUAAUUAUUGAUAAAUAAUUAUUGGCAAAAAAAUUUAUUUGAAAAUUCGAGAUUUUGUUGGGAAAACCCACAUUUUCCGAGGAAAAUUUUCGUCGGAGCAAAUCGGAAAAAGCAUGCUUCUAUGUAGAAUUAAAUUGGGGUGAAUUUUUAUUUGAGUGUUUUUGGUGUAAAGUUAAAAUCUUCGGAGUUAUAGAGCAAUAAUUGAAAAAAAUACGAUUUGUCGGCGCCAUUUUGUUUAUAAAAAAAGUAGCACACUAUCUGCGGACUUUGCAUACCUAUAUUAAUAAUAUAUAGGAUCUUAUAAUUCGAUUCCAGCAAUAAAAUUGCUGGUAAAUAACCUUUCUUUGUACUUUACUUAAUUAGACCAGCGUAUUAUAACUAUUUUUUUUCAAAAUUUAAAGAUUAUGCAAAAAAAAGAAAAAUUUAUGUUUUGUCGAUAAAAUAUUAAAUAAGCAUCUCAUCUUUAUAAUCUUUAUAAGUUUGAUCAAUGUAUCAUGAUUAUUUUGGUUAUUAUUGCGAUCGUAAAUUGUUUAUUAACAAUUGAAUUGUUGCUAAAAUAUUCGUUUAAUUUUCACCGGCUUCUGGAAUUACAAUCUAUACCAAGAAAGCUUUGAUGUCACUAAGUUAUUUAAUUAUUGAUUAAUAAUUACUUACCUAAAACUUUAUUUGAAAAUUAGAGUUUUUGUUAGGAAUACCCGCAUUUUCCGAGGAAAGUUUUCGUCGGAGCAAAUCGUGAAAAACUUAUCUCUAUGCAGAAUUUAAUUGCGGUGAAUUUUUGUUUGGGUGUUUUUGUUGCAAAGUUAAAAUCUUCGGAGUUAUAGAGAAAUAAUUGAAAAAAAUACGAUUUGUCGGCGCCAUUUUGUUUAUAAAAAAAGUAGCACACUAUCUGCGGACUUUGCAUAACUAUAUUAUUAAUAUAUAGGAUCUUAUAAUUCGAUUCCAGCAAUAAAAUUGCUGGUAAAUAACUUUUCCAUGAAUUUUGCUAAUUAGCCCAGAGUAUGUAUAGAGUUUGUAAAAUUAUACGUUUCAUAAUAAAUCCUUAAAUUAA
rnacentral:lncRNA from 1 species